rnacentral:tRNA from 1 species
GGCGCUGUGGUUUAGUUGGUCAAAGCGCCUGUCGAGUAAACAGUAGCCAUUCAAAGGUUGUGGGUUCGAGUCCCAUUAGGGUCG